CAUGGCCUCUGCCCUAACAUGGAGGAUCCAGGAAUUUAACAGAUCACACCUCAGUAAAAAUGAUGUACAGUUCCAGUCAAGAUGGCAGUGUAGAUAAAUGCAGUAUUGGGAACUUCCUACAACCACAUCAAAAUUACAACCAAACUACAGAACAGCCAUCAUUCUGAACCACCUGAAAUCUAGCUGAACAGAAGUCCUAUAACUAAGAAUAUGAGGAAGAAACUACACGAAGACUGUGCAGGUGGAGCAUAUGGUGCAUCUGACAUAUCUGAACACUUUCCUCUUGAAGUCUUCAUUGAUUGGUCUCAUCAACACUAUCCUCUUCUGACUCCCAUCUACAUCUUAAAAUAGAACUUCAAUAAAAUUCCAACAUCUAUUGAUCUUCUGUUGAUA